UACAGAGGGUGCGAGCGUUGUCCGGAAUCAUUGGGCGUAAAGAGCUCGUAGGCGGCUUGGCAAGUCGGAUGUGAAAACUCCAGGCUCAACCUGGAGCCGCCAUUCGAUACUGCUAUGGCUAGAGUCCGGUAGGGGAGUGUGGAAUUCCCGGUGUAGCGGUGAAAUGCGCAGAUAUCGGGAGGAACACCGAUGGCGAAGGCAGCACUCUGGGCCGGUACUGACGCUGAGGAGCGAAAGCGUGGGGAGCGAACAGG
rnacentral:rRNA from 1 species